ACCUUCGAUUCUUAGCGGUGAAAAUGGUAAAGUGUUUCUCUCUCAUCGUCGCUCUCUCUCUCCUCGCCGUAUCGGCGAUUGGCGCCGAGGUCUUCUCCGGUGAAUCGGACGGAGAUUUUGUUAUCCGUCAGGUUGUUGACGACGGAGGAGUCAACGGAGGAAGUAACGGCGACGAUCUGCUACUCGGAGCCGAGCACCACUUUUCGCUCUUUAAGCGAAAGUUUGGGAAGUCGUACGCUUCCAAGGAGGAGCAUGAUCACCGGUUCAGGGUAUUCAAAGCCAACCUGAGGCGCGCUCAACGCCACCAGGCCCUUGAUCCCUCUGCUACUCAUGGCGUCACUCAGUUCUCUGAUUUGACUCCAUCGGAGUUCCGAAGAUCGUUUCUAGGGCUUAGAGGUCGUCGUCUUGGACUCCCUGCGGAUGCUAACAAGGCCCCCAUUCUUCCUACCGAUGGUCUUCCAACUGAUUUCGAUUGGAGAGAUCAUGGCGCCGUAACGGAAGUCAAGAAUCAGGGUUCGUGUGGAUCCUGCUGGAGUUUCAGUACAACCGGUGCUCUUGAAGGCGCUAACUUCCUUGCUACCGGAAAACUUGUUAGCCUUAGCGAACAACAGCUUGUAGAUUGUGAUCACGAGUGUGAUCCAGAAGAAAAAGAUUCCUGUGAUUCUGGCUGCAAUGGAGGGCUAAUGAAUAGUGCAUUCGAGUACACAUUGAAAGCCGGUGGACUUAUGAAAGAGAACGACUACCCAUACACUGGUACAGAUCGUGGAACCUGCAAAUUUGACAAGAGCAAAAUUGCUGCAUCAGUAGCCAACUUUAGUGUUGUCUCUCUUGAUGAAGAACAAAUUGCUGCCAAUCUCGUGAAGAAUGGCCCUCUUGCAAUUGCUAUCAAUGCUGUAUUCAUGCAAACAUAUAUAGGAGGGGUUUCUUGCCCUUACAUUUGCUCAAAGCAUUUGGAUCAUGGAGUUCUGUUGGUUGGUUAUGGAUCUGGUGCCUAUGCUCCCAUCCGAUUGAAAGAGAAACCAUACUGGAUCAUUAAGAACUCCUGGGGAGCCAACUGGGGGGAGAAUGGAUACUAUAAAAUCUGCAGGGGCCGGAAUAUCUGUGGAGUCGACUCCAUGGUGUCGACAGUCGCUGCAGUUCAUACCGCUGCGAAUUAAUUUACGAUCUAAAACAGCUGGAGAUCAUUCUCACUUCUAUAAUUCCUGUAUAUAUUGCUGCAAUAUUAUCACUCUAUGGUAGGAAGUUGUUAAGUUCCAUUUCAAGCAUAGGAUGUCUCUUAAAAAGUAGAAUUUGAACUCUCUAUUUUAUAUAUUAUGCAUAUAUUUAUAUUUAGUUCAAAAUAUUGUGGGGAAGGUUUGCUUGUAAGCAAAAAACAAGAAUCUGUUUAUGGACUUUGGGUUGGCUCACCUACUCAGUUUGAUGUAUAUGAUGCCAAUGAAAAAUUCUCCCAAUGUAAAUUUCAACAUCGAUGGCCAAAAG
rnacentral:misc_RNA from 1 species